rnacentral:rRNA from 1 species
UACGAAGGGGGCUAGCGUUGCUCGGAAUCACUGGGCGUAAAGGGUGCGUAGGCGGGGCUUUAAGUCAGGGGUGAAAUCCUGGAGCUCAACUCCAGAACUGCCUUUGAUACUGAAGAUCUUGAGUUCGGGAGAGGUGAGUGGAACUGCGAGUGUAGAGGUGAAUUUCGUAGAUAUUCGCAAGAACACCAGUGGCGAAGGCGGCUCACUGGCCCGAUACUGACGCUGAGGCACGAAAGCGUGGGGAGCAAACAGG